UACGUAGGGGGCAAGCGUUGUCCGGAAUCAUUGGGCGUAAAGAGCGUGUAGGCGGCUUGGUAAGUCCGCUGUGAAAGUCCAGGGCUCAACCCUGGAAUGCCGGUGGAAACUGUCAAGCUUGAGUCCGGAAGAGGCGAGUGGAAUUCCUGGUGUAGCGGUGAAAUGCGCAGAGAUCAGGAGGAACACCAAUGGCGAAGGCAGCUCGCUGGGACGGUACUGACGCUGAGACGCGAAAGCGUGGGGAGCAAACAGG
rnacentral:rRNA from 1 species